rnacentral:rRNA from 1 species
GAGUUUGAUCCUGGCUCAGGACGAACGCUGGCGGCGUGCUUAACACAUGCAAGUCGAACGGUAAGGCCCCAGCUUGCUGGGGUACACGAGUGGCGAACGGGUGAGUAACACGUGGGUGACCUGCCCCGCACUUCGGGAUAAGCCUGGGAAACUGGGUCUAAUACCGGAUAGGACCGCACCGUGAGGGUGUGGUGGAAAGUUUUUCGGUGUGGGAUGGGCCCGCGGCCUAUCAGCUUGUUGGUGGGGUAAUGGCCUACCAAGGCGGCGACGGGUAGCCGGCCUGAGAGGGUGGACGGCCACAUUGGGACUGAGACACGGCCCAGACUCCUACGGGAGGCAGCAGUGGGGAAUAUUGCACAAUGGGCGGAAGCCUGAUGCAGCGACGCCGCGUGGGGGAUGACGGCCUUCGGGUUGUAAACUCCUUUCACCAUCGACGAAGGUUUUCUGACGGUAGAUGGAGAAGAAGCACCGGCUAACUACGUGCCAGCAGCCGCGGUAAUACGUAGGGUGCGAGCGCUGUCCGGAAUUACUGGGCGUAAAGAGCUCGUAGGUGGUUUGUCGUGUCGUCUGUGAAAUUCCGGGGCUUAACUCCGGGCGUGCAGGCGAUACGGGCAUAACUUGAGUACUGUAGGGGAGACUGGAAUCCUGGUGUAGCGGUGAAAUGCGCAGAUAUCAGGAGGAACACCGGUGGCGAAGGCGGGUCUCUGGGCAGUAACUGACGCUGAGGAGCGAAAGCAUGGGUAGCGAACAGGAUUAGAUACCCUGGUAGUCCAUGCCGUAAACGGUGGGCGCUAGGUGUAGGGGUCUUCCACGACUUCUGUGCCGUAGCUAACGCAUUAAGCGCCCCGCCUGGGGAGUACGGCCGCAAGGCUAAAACUCAAAGGAAUUGACGGGGGCCCGCACAAGCGGCGGAGCAUGUGGAUUAAUUCGAUGCAACGCGAAGAACCUUACCUGGGCUUGACAUAUACGGGACCGGGCCAGAGAUGGUCCUUCCCUUGUGGCUCGUAUACAGGUGGUGCAUGGUUGUCGUCAGCUCGUGUCGUGAGAUGUUGGGUUAAGUCCCGCAACGAGCGCAACCCUUGUCUUAUGUUGCCAGCACGUAAUGGUGGGGACUCGUGAGAAACUGCCGGGGUCAACUCGGAGGAAGGUGGGGAUGACGUCAAAUCAUCAUGCCCCUUAUGUCCAGGGCUUCACACAUGCUACAAUGGUCGGUACAGUGGGUUGCGAUGCCGUGAGGUGGAGCUAAUCCCUGAAAGCCGGUCUCAGUUCGGAUCGGGGUCUGCAACUCGACCCCGUGAAGUCGGAGUCGCUAGUAAUCGCAGAUCAGCAACGCUGCGGUGAAUACGUUCCCAGGGCCCUUGUACACACCGCCCGUC